rnacentral:rRNA from 1 species
CCUACGGGUGGCUGCAGUCGAGAAUCUUGGGCAAUGCACGAAAGUGUGACCCAGCGACGCCGCGUGAAGGAUGAAGGCCCUCCGGGUUGUAAACUUCUUUUACGGGAGAAGAAUCAAUGACGGUAUCCCGUGAAUAAGCCACGGCUAACUACGUGCCAGCAGCCGCGGUAAUACGUAGGUGGCAAGCGUUGUCCGGAUUUACUGGGCGUAAAGCGCGCGCAGGCGGAUGGUUAAGUAGGAAGUGAAAGGUCGGAGCUCAACUCCAACACUGCUCC